GCGUUAGUCAUCUGUUACAGUUAAUGCAACGUAGCUGUAGCACUAUAUAACAAUGUCAGUUAGAAAACGUCAUCAGUUUUAUUCAAGAGUGUUCUAUAUGGUUCUAAACCUACACUGCUAAAUUUGCAAAGAAAAUUCCUUUUUACUAAGAUAGAAAAAUGAAGACUUGUAUAGUUUUUUUGAGUAUCAUCGGCCUUGUAUUGUGUGCAAUCGAUCCGGAAGCUCUUGAUGAAUCAGAUUGUGAGGCAGACUUCCCUGAAGCUGAUUUUAACGAAAAGGAUGUAGUUUGCCAAAAAUGCUUUGACUUAUACGAAGAAAAUAAAGCGACUAUGCGAUCGUCGUGCAGAUCACAGUGUUUCAAGUCUGAAUUCUAUGACUCUUGCAAGAGAGCUGCUGAAUAUUUUUUCUAAUGGAGAACAUUGAUAACACUAAUAUUUGUAAUUAUAACUAAAUACAUGCUUACGUUAUGUACGCUAUUACACUAUGAUAAAUAUUUCAACAAAA